rnacentral:tRNA from 1 species
GGGGAUUUAGCUCAGUGGUAGAGCGCUUGCCUAGCAGGUGCAAGGCCCUGGGUUCAGUCCCCA